AGCGAACGCUGGCGGCAGGCUUAAUACAUGCAAGUCGAGCGCCCGUAGCAAUACGGGAGCGGCAGACGGGUGAGUAACGCGUGGGAACGUGCCCUUCGGUUCGGAAUAACUCAGGGAAACUUGAGCUAAUACCGGAUACGUCCGUAAGGAGAAAGAUUUAUCGCCGAAGGAUCGGCCCGCGUCGGAUUAGCUAGUUGGUGAGGUAACGGCCCACCAAGGCGACGAUCCGUAGCUGGUCUGAGAGGAUGAUCAGCCACACUGGGACUGAGACACGGCCCAGACUCCUACGGGAGGCAGCAGUGGGGAAUAUUGGACAAUGGGCGAAAGCCUGAUCCAGCCAUGCCGCGUGAGUGAAGAAGGCCUUAGGGUUGUAAAGCUCUUUCAGCGGGAAGAUAAUGACGGUACCCGCAGAAGAAGCCCCGGCUAACUUCGUGCCAGCAGCCGCUGU
rnacentral:rRNA from 1 species